CGCCAGCUAAGGUCCCAAAGUCAUGGUUAAGUGGGAAACGAUGUGGGAAGGCCCAGACAGCCAGGAUGUUGGCUUAGAAGCAGCCAUCAUUUAAAGAAAGCGUAAUAGCUCACUGGUCGAGUCGGCCUGCGCGGAAGAUGUAACGGGGCUAAACCAUGCACCGAAGCUGCGGCAGCGACGCUGAUGCGUUGUUGGGUAGGGGAGCGUUCUGUAAGCCUGCGAAGGUGACCUGUGAGGGUUGCUGGAGGUAUCAGAAGUGCGAAUGCUGACAUAAGUAACGAUAAAGCGGGUGAAAAGCCCGCUCGCCGGAAGACCAAGGGUUCCUGUCCAACGUUAAUCGGGGCAGGGUGAGUCGACCCCUAAGGCGAGGCCGAAAGGCGUAGUCGAUGGGAAACGGGUUAAUAUUCCCGUACUUGGUGUUACUGCGAAGGGGGGACGGAGAAGGCUAUGUUGGCCGGGCGACGGUUGUCCCGGUUUAAGCGUGUAGGUGUGUGUUCCAGGUAAAUCCGGUUCACUUUAACACUGAGGCGUGACGACGAGGCACUACGGUGCUGAAGCAACAAAUGCCCUGCUUCCAGGAAAAGCCUCUAAGCAUCAGGUAACAUCAAAUCGUACCCCAAACCGACACAGGUGGUCAGGUAGAGAAUACCAAGGCGCUUGAGAGAACUCGGGUGAAGGAACUAGGCAAAAUGGUGCCGUAACUUCGGGAGAAGGCACGCUGACACGUAGGUGAAGUGAUUUACUCAUGGAGCUGAAGUCAGUCGAAGAUACCAGCUGGCUGCAACUGUUUAUUAAAAACACAGCACUGUGCAAACACGAAAGUGGACGUAUACGGUGUGACGCCUGCCCGGUGCCGGAAGGUUAAUUGAUGGGGUCAGCGUAAGCGAAGCUCCUGAUCGAAGCCCCGGUAAACGGCGGCCGUAACUAUAACGGUCCUAAGGUAGCGAAAUUCCUUGUCGGGUAAGUUCCGACCUGCACGAAUGGCGUAAUGAUGGCCAGGCUGUCUCCACCCGAGACUCAGUGAAAUUGAACUCGCUGUGAAGAUGCAGUGUACCCGCGGCAAGACGGAAAGACCCCGUGAACCUUUACUAUAGCUUGACACUGAACAUUGAGCCUUGAUGUGUAGGAUAGGUGGGAGGCUUUGAAGUGUGGACGCCAGUCUGCAUGGAGCCGACCUUGAAAUACCACCCUUUAAUGUUUGAUGUUCUAACGUGGACCCGUUACCCGGGUUGCGGACAGUGUCUGGUGGGUAGUUUGACUGGGGCGGUCUCCUCCUAAAGAGUAACGGAGGAGCACGAAGGUUGGCUAAUCCUGGUCGGACAUCAGGAGGUUAGUGCAAUGGCAUAAGCCAGCUUGACUGCGAGCGUGACGGCGCGAGCAGGUGCGAAAGCAGGUCAUAGUGA
rnacentral:rRNA from 1 species